rnacentral:rRNA from 1 species
UACGUAGGUGGCAAGCGUUGUUCGGAAUUACUGGGCGUAAAGGGCUCGUAGGCGGCCAACUAAGUCGGAUGUGAAAUCCCCAGGCUCAACCUGGGAACUGCAUCCGAUACUGGAUGGCUUGAAUCCGGGAGAGGGAUGCGGAAUUCCAGGUGUAGCGGUGAAAUGCGUAGAUAUCUGGAGGAACACCGGUGGCGAAGGCGGCAUCCUGGACCGGCAUUGACGCUGAGGAGCGAAAGCCAGGGGAGCAAACGGGAUUAGAAACCCCUGUAGUCC